GAUGAAGAACGUAGUGAAAUGCGAUAAUUAAUGUGAAUUGCAGAAUUCAGUGAAUCAUCGAGUCUUUGAACGCACAUUGCGCCCCCUGGUAUUCCGGGGGGCAUGCCUGUCCGAGCGUCAUUGCUGCCCUCAAGCACGGCUUGUGUGUUGGGCUUCCGUCCCUGGCAACGGGGACGGGCCCAAAAGGCAGUGGCGGCACCAUGUCUGGUCCUCGAGCGUAUGGGGCUUUGUCACCCGCUCCCGUAGGUCCAGCUGGCAGCUAGCCUCGCAACCAAUCUUUUUAACCAGGUUGACCUCGGAUCAGGUAGGGAUACCCGCUGAACUUGAGCAUAUCAAUAAGCGGAGGA
rnacentral:misc_RNA from 1 species